UACGGAGGGUGCAAGCGUUAUCCGGAUUCACUGGGUUUAAAGGGUGCGUAGGCGGGUUGAUAAGUCAGUGGUGAAAUCCCCGAGCUUAACUUGGGAACUGCCAUUGAUACUAUUGAUCUUGAAUACCGUGGAGGUCAGCGGAAUAUGUCAUGUAGCGGUGAAAUGCUUAGAUAUGACAUAGAACACCAAUUGCGAAGGCAGCUGGCUGGGCGAAUAUUGACACUGAUGCACGAAAGCGUGGGGAGCAAACAGG
rnacentral:rRNA from 1 species